rnacentral:rRNA from 1 species
UGGGACAGAUAAUUGGGGUGAAGUCGUAACAAGGUAGCCGUAUCGGAAGGUGCGGCUGGAUCACCUCCUUU